CCUACGGGUGGCUGCAGUGGGGAAUAUUGCACAAUGGGCGCAAGCCUGAUGCAGCCAUGCCGCGUGUGUGAAGAAGGCCUUCGGGUUGUAAAGCACUUUCAGCGGGGAGGAAGGCGGUGAGGUUAAUAACCACAUCGAUUGACGUUACCCGCAGAAGAAGCACCGGCUAACUCCGUGCCAGCAGCCGCGGUAAUACGGAGGGUGCAAGCGUUAAUCGGAAUUACUGGGCGUAAAGCGCACGCAGGCGGUCUGUCAAGUCGGAUGUGAAAUCCCCGGGCUCAACCUGGGAACUGCAUUCGAAACUGGCAGGCUAGAGUCUUGUAGAGGGGGGUAGAAUUCCAGGUGUAGCGGUGAAAUGCGUAGAGAUCUGGAGGAAUACCGGUGGCGAAGGCGGCCCCCUGGACAAAGACUGACGCUCAGGUGCGAAAGCGUGGGGAGCAAACAGGAUUAGAUACCCGAGUAGUC
rnacentral:rRNA from 1 species